CCUCCUCUCUUAAAAAGACGAAAGGACCUAGCCCAGUCUAACCCUGUCCCCAGCCAAAUGACGCUGUUUCGGUCACGUUACAUUCGGACCGUUGAUCUCAUCUCAUCCAACGGUCCGGAACUAGGCUAUCAUUCAAAAUAAAAGGGUCCAAAUCAGUCGCCACCCCCUCUCUGUCUUCUCCCACAACCCUUCUCUCCAUAAACCCUAAACAACUUCCGCCCCUAAAUCCCACCACUGUCUGGUAUCGACGCCAACCAAACUGCCUCCAAAUUAACACCCUGAGACCACCUGCCUUCCCUCAUUCUAAAUCCUCACUUAGAUCAUUUCGAACAUCUCUGGAACUCUUCGAAUAUCAAAUUAAAGAGUCGAGCCCUAAGAGCCCAAAGUCGGAAUCACAUGCAAGUCACUUUUAAGGAUUUUUCUAGUUUGUUCAAGUUAGUUUUGGCACAAAAUAGUGACACUUGUUUGUUCUCCACCAAGAACAAAUGUUCGUCACUAUUUUGGGUUAAAUCAGAGCUCCAAUCUUGAUUUCAAGCUUAGCCGGUGAGUCUUUUUUUUCAAAUAUAUGUGUCACCUCUGUUCUCUUCCUCUCUUUAAAUUUUUUUUCUGAUUUGCCUAGACCUAUUAAUUACCCAUUGGAAUCUCUGUUUGGUCACUUAGCUUUGUUCAAAAGUUUAAUUAGUUUCCCACCCGAUUGUGAUCAUUAAUUAGGUAAUUUGUUUGGUUUUAAGUUUUCUGAAUUUGUUGUGCCUACCUUUCCCAUGCGUUGAUUUGGUUGUCACCUUUGUUAUUUGGGCUCUGAGGUCAGUCUAGACCUCAUUCUAAGGGAAUUUUGUUUGGCUUGAAUCUGAGCCCAUGUUUGUUGAAACAUUGGGCCUGUUUGGGAUGCAUAACCUGUACCUUAAGUCUGAUUAGUUCAAGACCUUUGGGUCAUGGUUUUAGGGGUAGUAAAAUUAGGGAAAUUGAGGGAUAGUUUGGGUAAUUAGGCAAGAGAAUCUUGUGAAUAACAUAAAUAGGAAGCUUCUAAUGGGGGUCUUUAAUUGAAUUUCAGAGUUCAGACAUAAGCUUGGGUAAAAAGUCAGUAAAUAAGGGAUUAAGUAGCAAAAUUAGGAAUUAGAAAGGGACUAGAAUUGAAAUAAAAAUCUGAUAAUUGCACUAGCCCCUUGCCUAUAAAGGGCCCCCAAAACUCGCUUUGGAAAAAAGCGGAAAAAAGAAAAAAUAGACCUAAGAGACUCUGAAGAGAAUAUAGAGCAGAAAUCCAAAAAUACAGAAAAAGAACAAAUUUAUACUGUUUCAUUAAGUUCCAUUUUUUGGUUUCUGAUUCCUGUUAGAGCCUGAAAAAUAAUAUUUCUUCAUUGUGAAAAAACAAAAAACAAUUGAACUGGGUUUAAAUUAUGAGUCCAAGUUUGCUGGGGGUUUGGUUCGAGUGGAAUUUUCCUUUUGGUUGCUGCAUAUCAACUUUAGGGUUGGAAGUUAGGGUUCACUGAUUUUGCUAUUUGAUUUUUACUGUUGUUGUUGCUGAUCCCUUACCUCAUUUCCUUUGUUCAUUUUAUAUCCAGGUAUGCUUUUGAAACUAUGGGGAAAUUGAAGCCUGAUUGAGCUUAUGUAAAGAUUUGUGAAUAGGAAUUGAGACUUGAAUAUAAAAUAUGUUCCCGGCUGUAUCAAUUGUUAGAUUUAGCCAUUCUAAAUUGUCAAAUUCCUCAUGUCCUGUAGCAAUUCAGUGUUUGAGUAGGUGUCAUUUACUUUUUCAUGUUAUCAUUUUAAGUAUUAUGCAUUUUAGAUUUCAUGUUCUAGAUAUGUUGUAAUUGCUUGAAUAUGUUAAUUUAGUGCUCCGAACUCAGCAAUUGUCAUGUAAAAUAUGUCCAGGAUUCUGCUUAUAGUUUUGGAAAGUUUAUAAUGACUUACUUAUUAGAAUUGCCUUUUAAGUGGUUUAGAUGGAUUUAAUUUUCACAUGCUCGUUUAUAUGAUUAGUUUAGAAAUUAAAUGCAAGCAUAAAUCUCUACUUAAUUUGUUGUCAAAGUCAAUUUAGGUGAUAAUUUGUUGAAGCUCUUGUGUUGGGUGAGACUCGACCUUGAAUCUCGAUUCUUAAUUUUUUGGGGGCAUGUUUUUUGAGUCACGAGUUUGCACUCUUGUU
rnacentral:lncRNA from 1 species